UGCAAGUCGAGCGGUAAGGCCCUUCGGGGUACACGAGCGGCGAACGGGUGAGUAACACGUGAGCAACCUGCCCCUGACUCCGGGAUAAGCGGUGGAAACGCCGUCUAAUACCGGAUACGACCCUUGGCCUCCUGGCCGGGGGUGGAAAGUUUUUCGGUUGGGGAUGGGCUCGCGGCCUAUCAGCUUGUUGGUGGGGUAACGGCCUACCAAGGCGAUUACGGGUAGCCGGCCUGAGAGGGCGACCGGCCACACUGGGACUGAGACACGGCCCAGACUCCUGCGGGAGGCAGCAGUGGGGAAUAUUGCGCAAUGGGCGAAAGCCUGACGCAGCGACGCCGCGUGGGGGAUGACGGCCUUCGGGUUGUAAACCUCUUUUACCACCAACGCAGGCUCGGAGUUUUCUUCGGGUUGACGGUAGGUGGGGAAUAAGGACCGGCUAACUACGUGCCAGCAGCCGCGGUAAUACGUAGGGUCCGAGCGUUGUCCGGAAUUAUUGGGCGUAAAGAGCUCGUAGGCGGCGUGUCGCGUCUGCUGUGAAAGACCGGGGCUUAACUCCGGUUUGGCAGUGGAUACGGGCAUGCUAGAGGUAGGUAGGGGAGACUGGAAUUCCUGGUGUAGCGGUGAAAUGCGCAGAUAUCAGGAGGAACACCGGUGGCGAAGGCGGGUCUCUGGGCCUUACCUGACGCUGAGGAGCGAAAGCAUGGGGAGCGAACAGGAUUAGAUACCCUGGUAGUCCAUGCCGUAAACGUUGGGCGCUAGGUGUGGGGACUUUCCACGGUUUCCGCGCCGUAGCUAACGCAUUAAGCGCCCCGCCUGGGGAGUACGGCCGCAAGGCUAAAACUCAAAGGAAUUGACGGGGGCCCGCACAAGCGGCGGAGC
rnacentral:rRNA from 1 species